UACAGAGGUCUCAAGCGUUGUUCGGAUUCAUUGGGCGUAAAGGGCUCGUAGGCGGCCAACUAAGUCAGACGUGAAAUCCCUCGGCUUAACCGGGGAACUGCGUCUGAUACUGGAUGGCUUGAGUUCGGGAGAGGGAUGCGGAAUUCCAGGUGUAGCGGUGAAAUGCGUAGAUAUCUGGAGGAACACCGGUGGCGAAGGCGGCAUCCUGGACCAACACUGACGCUGAUGAGCGAAAGCCAGGGGAGCAAACGGG
rnacentral:rRNA from 1 species